UGUAUAUCACUAAGUGAAAGAAGCCAGUCUGAAGAGGCUACACACUGUAUGUUUCCAAGUAUAUAACAUCCUGGAAAAGGCAAAACUACGGAGACCGUAAAAAGGAAACGAUUUGUGUCCCAGGAAAGAAAGGUCAUCACCAACAUCCUGUGGGGAGGUAAAGACAGACUCCCCGCCCCCAUUCCUUCCCCAAAUGCCUCCGAAGGCACCGAGCAGGCAGGGAGAAGGCGGCCCUGGAGCCGGGAAGGACGGGGCGCUUCGCCCAGGUGGGGGCUGGCUGGUGGGCUUCUGGGGAGCAAGGGCCUCGGGGCCUCGAGGCCCAGUAGGAUUUGGACAUGAAGAUGGGGCAGUGCCAGGCCCCCCGGGGCUGGGGGCUCAGCGCUCGGGCAGGCUGGCUUCUCCACCUCCUCUGUGCAGGGACGCGCCGAGCUCCAGCGGCAAGGCCAUCGGACGUGCCCACGCACACCGGUCAGCGCGGGCCCCGCACGGCUGACAGGAGCUGCUCCCGCCUGUGUCUCCGGGGAGGGCUGGGGUCUCAGAAGAUGCCAUGGAUGUGAGGUGAGCAAAGCCGUGUGGGAGGGGGCAGGCAGGGGGCAUGGAUCCUCAGGGCAUCCUUCACGGCAGAGAAAGAAGACGCAGGACAGGGAAGGACUCGACCCCCGAGCCAAGGGGGAGCCUUGCCCAUACCUACGUGUGGGUGUCUCAGGGAAGCUGGCCACGGGGCUGGAGUUCCCAAGGGGGGCUCUGGAGGCAUCAAAGCAGCUGCACCAGGUGCACAGGCCCACAUCAGCUCCACGGCUGAUCCGUGAAGAGCGAAAAUACGUGGGGCGGCAAAAACCUGAACUUGGAAGCCCAACACCCUUGAACCCUGGCACCUGGAUGCCAGGUGACAGUGGGUAAGUCAUUUCACCACCGGGGGUCUCUGUUUGCUCAUCCAGUGAAGGGAGGGGCUGGCCGACAAAGCCUGGGACAGCAGGCCCCAAAAGGGAAGCUGUUGCCCUUAUUACUCGGAGAAGAGAGCUGUCUGUAGACAAAGGUUAAUGACCAGACAUGUAAGUUAAUGGUUAAAACUCAUGAAUGAAGCCAGUGGGUAGCUGUUGACACCCAGGAGAGACGUCUAGGGUGGUCUACGAGGAAGUCGCAGGCUGUGGCCCUCGUCCUUCCCAUGGCCCAGAGAUGCCAUCUGAAGCCAGCCUGUCUGAUAAGGUCACUGAGGCUCCUGCGUCAGCCACAGCCAGAACCUGGGGUCGCUGGGCCGAGGGGCCAGCAUGGCAGAGGAGGUGACGACAGCAGAUCCUGCAGGGGUCCCGAGGUAGGAGAGGCCCCAGGGGUCCUGGGGUCCCCCAGAGCCACGCCUGCCUCACAUGGUCUCUCUUCAGGGAGAGGAGCCCAUGACAAAGAGUUCUGCUUCUACGGGAGGUGGAAGUGGGCAGCGGAGCUACCGCAUGGUGGCCACAGCGGAGCUACCACAUGGUGGCCACAGCGGAGCUACCGCAUGGUGGACGGACGAAGAAGCCAGCCGAGCCCGGGAAUCCUCUCCUGUCCGGAAACCAAGUGGCAGCACCUGCAGUCCUGGUCUUUAUCUCCAACAAGGCGCCACAUCAAGGCAGGCUCAGAAAGAGAAGAGGACAGCUGGCCCCGGGCUGUGUGCUGUGCAGGCCAGGGACGGGACACAGGGGGUCCGAGGACAGUCUCUGAGCCGGCGGCAGGCAGCUCAGGGCAGAGAGGGCUAUUCCACACUGCAUGUGCGCUCCAGUUCUGCCGGCUCAGCCCCUAUGCGGGGCCUCACAUUUGCGGAAACCUGCUGGAGGGACGGUGCUCUCGCCAGUGCACCAAAGCUCAAGGAACACCCCCUCUGCCGCACCCCCAUCCCCCAAGUGUCUCCGUACCAACAUCUGCCUUCCUGAAACAGCUUUCUUUCCCUACUUCCUCUUUUCUCUUGCCAGGGAGUCAACCAGGGGCCAGGAAAAAAAAAACCAAGUCACUCUGCCCAAACAGCUCAUGUGGCACCCAUGAACAAGCACAGCCUCCCAGGGAGCAAGAUACUUAGAAUUCCAAACUUUCCAGUAAUUAUACGUGGAUUGCAGAAGUGAUUAUUGACCCAUUUUAUGCAUGAAGAUACUGAGGCUCCGGGGAACCGGACUUGCUCCAGGAGACAAGGAGGAUGAAAGCCCAGGUCUCUGCCUCCAUGUACCCUGGGACCGCAUGGCCUCACCUGGGGGGGGGGCAUGCUACCCGACGGCCAGGAAUAAAGUGCCCUCGGUCCUAGCUCAAGGCUCCGUUUCCCUGCCUGAGCCCCCAGUCCAUAGCUCAGCCCCUUUUCUGCAGGAUGGCUCUCUCCUUCCACAUCUCCUGCUCUACCAAGAGGACAUCCCGGGCCUGACUGGGAGCCUCUGAUGGUGGCCCUGGCAGCAGCAGGGCAACGACAACGCCAGCGGGGUUAAGCGCACACGAACACGCUCCGGGGAUCGUGCUGUGCCCUCAACUUCGGUGUUCCCAGCGCAGAGGGGACCCACAGCCCAUACCUUCCCCAAGUCAGUAAAUGGAUGGAUGGGCCAGACGUUAAGCCAAAGCCUGUGUUUUUGACCAAAGCUUCACGUAAGCUUUCUCAGUCUCCAAGAAAUCCGGGCACGCACGGUUAGGCACAGACGUGUGGUGAUCAAGGACCCAGCCGUCUGGGGGAGCUGCGUCUCAGCUCCUGGGAGACUGAGCUGCCCUGCCCCCAACCCCGUGCGUAUCUCCAGGGGCGGCCCUCGUCUGCUCAGGAGCAAUGGCAUUAUAGUUUCGGAAUAAGAAGAGUCUUUGUUAUUGCUAGUGGCAUUCUCUCCUGCCAUUCAAAGCUGCGUUAUCCAAAAAAAAAUGACUACGGAUACAUUUCCCCCUCCACCAUGAUCUAAUAAGAAUAAAAGCUUAUCUAUCCCUAGCAAACUGCCAGUUACUGUGGCUAGAAAUGCCAUAAUCAGUGAUAGUUAAGACUUUUGGAAUAUUCUUUGAACCAAAGAAUUCAAU